UUUCCAGACUCCUACGGGAGGCAGCAGUGAGGAAUAUUGGUCAAUGGGCGAGAGCCUGAACCAGCCAAGUCGCGUGAAGGAUGACGGCCCUACGGGUUGUAAACUUCUUUUGUCAGGGAGCAAUUGGGUCCACGCGUGGGCUUAGCGAGAGUACCUGAAGAAAAAGCAUCGGCUAACUCCGUGCCAGCAGCCGCGGUAAUACGGAGGAUGCGAGCGUUAUCCGGAUUUAUUGGGUUUAAAGGGUGCGUAGGCGGACUGGAAAGUCAGCGGUAAAAUCGAGAGGCUCAACCUCUUUCCGCCGUUGAAACUGUCGGUCUUGAGUGGGCGAGAAGUAUGCGGAAUGCGUGGUGUAGCGGUGAAAUGCAUAGACAUCACGCAGAACUCCGAUUGCGAAGGCAGCAUACCGGCGCCCGACUGACGCUGAGGCACGAAAGCGUGGGUAUCGAACAGGAUUAGAUACCCCAGUA
rnacentral:rRNA from 1 species